UGCAGUCGACGGGCGCAUCUUCGGAUCGCGUCAGUGGCGCAAGGGUGAGUAAGGCGACGGUAACCAACCCCAUGGUUGGGCAUAGCCGCGGGAAACUGCGGGCAAUACCCAGCGAUGUUCACGGGGGGCAUCCCCUGAGGACCAAAGUUUCAACGCCGUGGGACGGACCGUCGUGGUAUUAGGUUGUUGGCGGGGUAGCGGCCCACCAAGCCUCUGAUGCCUACCGGGCGUGCGAGCGUGGCCCGGCACACUGGGACUGAGAUACUGCCCAGACUCCUACGGGAGGCUGCAGUCGAGAAUCUUCGGCAAUGGGCGCAAGCCUGACCGAGCGACGCCGCGUGGAGGAUGAAGGCCUUCGGGUUGUAAACUCCUGUCGAGGGGGAGGAAGGCGCAAGCUUGACCGAUCCCUGGAGGAAGCACGGGCUAAGUUCGUGCCAGCAGCCGCGGUAAGACGAACCGUGCGAACGUUAUUCGGAAUCACUGGGCUUAAAGCGCGUGUAGGCGGAUGGGAACGUCGGUCGUUGAAAUCCCCCGGCUCAACCGGGGAACGGGCGCCGAAACGACCCGUCUGGAGGGACGUAGGGGGACCUGGAACUUCCGGUGGAGCGGUGAAAUGCGUUGAGAUCGGAAAGGAACGCCCGUGGCGAGAGCGAGGUCCUGG
rnacentral:rRNA from 1 species